GCCCCUUCCUGGGCGCCCCGGAGCCGCGCCGGACACAGGGAAACACUGCACCUGUGUUCCUAGCCUUUCUCUCUGGAAGACUCCGAAGUCUUGGGGUCCCCCUCCUGUGUGCGAACGGCGAAUGCAGCUAGGGAAAGAUAAGAAAAAGCAAAUGGAGGCCCCCCCCCAGGAUAACAAAAUGAUAGUCCAUAGAUUUUUUCUUUUUUUUUUCUUUUCCCCAUGUUAUUCCACAUAGUACGCUGUGCGCUUGGACGAGUAGGUAACGCGCAGAAGGUUAGGUGCCCGAUGCUGCGGGAAGCCCAUCCACGCAGCGAGGCGUCCGGGAGACGGAGAAAGGGAGUAAAUGGUUGGAGGUCACGCCCAGGAUCGCAGAGCUUGUUAGAUGACAAUUAGAUUUAAACCUGGGCAGGUUAGGGAUGCCUGGGUGGCUCAGUCAUUUGACGGACAGACUCGAUUUCAGCUCAGGUCACCAUCUCAGGGGCUGGGAGAUUGCGCUUCCGGCUCAGCGCCUGAGUUGGCUUGAGAUUCUCUCCCUCCCCCCUCCAUGCUAAAUAAAUAAAUAAAUAAAUAUCUUUAAAAAAAAUGAACCUGGGCAAUCCAAGUCUGAGCUUUACCUUUAUUAUUAUUAUUAUUUUAAAGUUUUAAUUUAUUUAUUCAUGAGAGACACAGAGAGAGGCAGAGACACAGGCAGAGGGAGAAGCAGGCUCCCUGCGGGGAACCUGAUGCGGGACUCGAUUCUGGGAUCUUGGUAUCAGGACCUGGGCCAAAGGCAGAUGCUCAACCACUGAGCCACCCAGGCACCGCUGGAUCUUUACCUUUAACCAGAAAUUUCCUGCCGAAUUUGUCAAGAGAUGCCUAUGAGAAUCUAAAUUGGAGAACAGGGACAGGCAGGCCUGUCAGCUCUUCCUGCAAAACCACACAACACUGGGACAACAAUUAGCCGAGCCUUAGGGUACAAGGUGAUGGACCACCCAAGGUACCAAAGAUGUCUCAAAAAUUCUUGGCCGUCGCCUUUGAACCCUACUGUCUUUCCUAUACCAUAUGGUGCCCAAUAUGGGGCUUUGAGUCUUUUCACCUGGACUCUGAACCUCAAUGCAGACUUGAUUAAGGAAACUUUCUCUUAAGAUACCUAUGACUUACAAAAAUGUGGUAAAUUAUCCAUUUGUGAACAAAUUAAAGCAUCUCUCUACCUGAACCCUCCGAAAUUUAAAAGGUCUCAUCACAGAGAGAGAGGCAGAGGGAGAAGCAGGCUCCAUGCACCGGGAGCCCGACGUGGGAUUCGAUCCCGGGUCUCCAGGAUCGCGCCCUGGGCCAAAGGCAGGCGCCAAACCGCUGCGCCACCCAGGGAUCCCAAAAUCAGACUUGUUUUACAAACAAAUUAGCCUCGAUUUGGCUAUCUCUGGGAAUAAAGAUUUUGCUCAUUCAUUUGACAGAGAUUGAGAACACAAGCAGAGUGCGAGGGAGAAGCAGGCUCCGUGCUUGGCAGGGAGCCAGAUGUGGGGCUCUAUCCCAGAACCUUGGGAUCAUGACCCAAACUGAAGACAGAUCCUCAACCAACUGAGCCACUCCGGCACCCCAGCAGUCUCUUCUUGUUACUCACUUUCCAUUGUUGAAGAAAAAAAAAUUCACCUGAGAAUGAGAAGAUCUAAUUAAGAUAGGGAAACUGCAAGGCCCCAUUAAAAAAAAAAAAAAAAAAAAAAAAAAAAAAAGCUGUUUUUUUUUUCUCCCUUUCCUGUUUCUAUUCUUGCAAGGACCUACACCCCUAUCUUACACAUGCCUAAGUGUAUAUCCUCCUUGUCGGGAACAAGUAGUUAAUAAUUUCUUUGGAGGCUUCCAGCACAGUGGAGAGCAUCUGGGGAGCAACAGGCGAGAAUAACCGGGCGAAGCCACAUGUGUGUAUUCCAGACCACUGGCCCUGGACAUCUCCAUCCUAAGACCCCCUGGCUCCAGGGAAUAAGUGAUUUAUGAUGCACUCCUGGUUCCUGUCCUUGUUCUGACCAGUUCCUGGCUGCUGGAGAGGACACAUGCACCAGACCACAAUUAUCAAUAAAGAGCCCAGACCCCAAGCAAAGAUGAGACUUUCUCUCCUUUCCUUUCUCCGUAUCCCAGAUCCUCUUUCUGUGUCUGUAUUCUCUCUAUGUCUUCAAUAAACUCUGCUCUCAGUU